CAUUCUGGAGUGUUUGUGCCAUCAGAUCCUCAGGAACUGCUCACCAAUCUCGUCUGGCUAACCUCUACAGAUUAUUUUGUAAUUGCGUCUGUUCAGCCACAACUCAUGCAGGCCGGAGAAACUGAGUUGCUUACCUAUGAGGACAUAAACUGUGCACACAUGUACCCGGAAAAUUCCUGAAAGUAAAGUGUUGUCUAAAGCUGCAAGCUCAUGAAAUAACCUUCUCGACAAUUUGGAGUGGUGAAAAUCCAGCAACAAAAGGAAGUACUAAUGACUAUGUAAAAACGGAUAUUGUCUUAUUGUCAGUCGUCUUGCUACUAUCAGCUACUUUAUGGAACAUAACCUAUGGCGUACAAGCUGAUUUUUCUUAUGUUUUUGAAAGACUUUUUUUUUUUUCUGGACUAUUCUAAAGUGUUUUGUAACAAGAUUUUUUUUCUUUUUGUAGAGUUAGACAGAGAAGGAGGAAGUGUAAGUAAACCCAGAAAUAGGUGUAUGAUUGAGUAAAGGAUGUGUGGUGUGGAUGAAUGUUGAAUUUAUCAAGUCUAGAUUUAAAUGAUUUCAUAACUGAUAUGAAACCACUUGUAUGUAGUAGUGAGAUAUAUUACCUCCUCUAACGGUACAAAGAAAGCUUUUAAUAUGUAAUCUUGAUGUUGCUUUACCUUAAUGCUCCUUAUACUUGUCACCUGGUUGCAUCAGGCACUGAGGGUAGUGGUGUUGUGGAGACAGGCUCAGGCACUGAGGGUAAUGGUGUUGUGGAGACAGGCUUGGUGAGGCCUAAUAGAAAGCAGUUGUUGUUGGGGGAUUCCAUCAUAAGAGGUGUGGAGAUGGACAAUGGUGGUCUUAUGAUAUGUCUUCCCAGAGCUACUGCUCACAAAGACAGGAGACGUAUUUGUAAUAUUGUUAAGCAAACAAAGCAGGAAGGGGAAUUGGAUGUACUUGCCCAUCUAGGGACAAAUGACUUGGCUUGCAAUGAGGUUUCAGAGGUUAAGGAAGUUUUUAGUGUUUUUGCCAAUGAUAUACGGCAGGUUGCUUCCACACUGUCAUUCUCUGAAGUUCUGCCUGUGCAUAACACUCAGAAUGACAGAUGGAUGCGUAGUAGGGACUUUAACUUGUGGCUUGGUGAAUGGUGUUGGGAGCAAGGAUUUGGCUUUAUUUCUCAUGGUAGCUCUGUUUGGAAUGGAAAUAAACUGUACAAAAAAGAUGGUUUGCAUCUUUCUCAAAAGGGAACAAUUGUUCGCAGUGAGCAGUUCAGAGGUUUUGCUAGGAUGUAUUUAAACUAGGAGAGGGGGGCAAAAGGGUGAUAACACAUCAAUCCAAUUAUCCCCCUAGACAAGGACAGAAGGUGCAUGUAGCAAGUGUGUUAAAAAAUGAUAAGCUUAGAGUCAUGUCUACAAAUGCUCGUAGUUUAGGAAAUAAGAUCCAUGAACUUGUGGCAAUAAUGGUAACUGAUGAUGUAGAUUUAGUCGCUGUUACUGAGACAUGGUAUAAUGAGAAAAAUGACUGGGACAUAGUACCAGGGUACUCUUUAUAUAGAAAAGACAGGAAAGGCAAGAAAGGGGUAGGGGUGGCCCUGUAUGUGAAGGAUAGCAAAAAAUCUAGCCUAAUAAAAGUUAGUGAGGUGAACAUAGAGUCUGUUUGGGUUACGUUAGAAUUUGGUAAUCACACAGUAACUCGUGUAGGUGUGAUUUAUGGAAGAGUUAGAUAAUCUACUAGUUGAGGAAAUAGCUAAAAUGACAAUGAAGGAGAAUGUUAUCAUCAUGAGUGGGUGACUUUAAUCUUCCUGAUGUGAAUUGGAAAACAAAAAUAGCUACUUGUGCCAGGAGCACACAUAUUCUAAACUCCCUAUUGGGAUUGUCUCUAAAACAAGUCGUUGAGGAGCCAACUCGUAAAGAGGCCAUACUAGAUUUAGUGUUAACAAAUGGAGAUUUGGUAUCAGAUAUUACUGUAGGUGAAAGUUUAGGAUCCAGCGAUCACCAGUCAGUGUGGUUUAAUAUAAGUACAGUGACUGAGUCACAC